rnacentral:rRNA from 1 species
CACGUAGGGGGCAAGCGUUGUCCGGAUUUAUUGGGCGUAAAGAGCUCGUAGGUGGUUCGGUAAGUCAGGUGUGAAACCUCCAGGCUCAACCUGGAGACGCCACUUGAUACUGCUGUGACUGGAGUCCGGUAGGGGAGCGUGGAAUUCCUGGUGUAGCGGUGAAAUGCGCAGAUAUCAGGAGGAACACCAGCGGCGAAGGCGGCGCUCUGGGCCGGUACUGACACUGAGGAGCGAAAGCGUGGGGAGCGAACGGG